GGCUGAGAAGCAGCCCUGCUGAAAAUGACACGAGGACUGGAAAAAGCCCUAAGCAAUCUGUGAUUUUCCUAUAGAAAAGGAAAUAUAAUAUGUUGGCUAUGUCACCUCAUUGAGGUCCAUGUACUUUUUGUGCAGAAGCCAGAAAGUACUAUCAGUGUUUACACAAAGGUUGUUCUACAGUCGCACUAACACCUCCCUAUCAACUCCUUCAUCCAGGCAACUGAGCCACGUUCACUCCACAAGCCUUUUGGCAAAAACUCCAACCAACGAACUGGUGUGUGAAAAGGAGGAACUGCUGGUAGAGACGUACUGCUGGAGGUGCCACCCAGUUGGAGACUACAAAUAAUUGAUUGAAGUCUCUCCGAAAUGAUGAGUCAGUUUUAGCCACUAGCACAUCUACAUCAAAUGCAAGAUCUACAAGCCAGAGUUUGCAGCGAUUUGCUUUGCAACGUUGGGUGUUUGUCCAGAUUACUCCCUGUUCAGCCUGCUGAAUUCAAAAUUUCUGCUGUGUGUGACUAUCAUCCUUAUCCCUGGAGCGCGCAUGUUGCCAUGUGUUCACAAGAGAAAACACAAUGUCAGAGAAAUGCUUCGUGGAGUCAGAGUGGAAGGUGUAACGAUUGUAAUGGUCCUCAGAAAUAGCAGGAGUUCCUCAGACCCCCAGAGAAUGUCUUCAAAUAGAACACUAUUAAAACAUUGUAAAGACAAAAGAGAUGAAGAGCAAAGAAGCUGCUGAGUGUCAUUUAAAAAGAAAAUGUGUCUUGGGAUUUAGAAAGUGCCAAGCAAAUUACAGAAAAAUGGAGAGCAGAAGUGAAGGAGUAGCUGGAACCCAUGAUGAAUGAAGCCAGUGGAGAGGUAUAAAACAAGGAGCAGACUGCCAAGAGGUGAGAGAGAUAUGGAAGAAAACCAAUGCUGAGUCCUGAAGCUCAGUUUAGAGACCUCCAGGAACUCAGAACAGGACUGAUGGGAUCCUGCCUGCUGGACUGGCCUGGGUUCGAGUUUCUGUAAUCUUUGCACUUAGCAAAUACAGCAUCUGUAAGACUACAAUAUAGGAAUGAGAGCAACAGAUAAGGGUAGUGAUUAAAAAUGUGAAUUCAGCAGAGGUAAAAAAAUUGACAGGCUAAGACAAAUGCUUAUGAUGCCCAAGCAGACGUGAUUAGGAAGGUCCUUGCUAGCACUGAAAUGCUUUAAUUGCUCUCCAAGAGAUGAUCACAGUUAUGUUUUACUUUUAGUUAAAGUUUUCAUUUCAGCUUUGCAUCAGCAAUACAUAUCAAAGUGAUGGUGAGUGGUUUAGGCAUAUUGUUUUUUUCUCAAUGGCCACUUCCCAUUUGACUUCCAUCGUUGUUCUAGAGUAAUUUGCAGAACAGCAAUUGUGAGGA
rnacentral:lncRNA from 1 species